rnacentral:rRNA from 1 species
AUUGAACGCUGGCGGCAGGCCUAACACAUGCAAGUCGAGCGGAUGAAGGGAGCUUGCUCCUGGAUUCAGCGGCGGACGGGUGAGUAAUGCCUAGGAAUCUGCCUGGUAGUGGGGGAUAACGUCCGGAAACGGGCGCUAAUACCGCAUACGUCCUGCGGGAGAAAGUGGGGGAUCUUCGGACCUCACGCUAUCAGAUGAGCCUAGGUCAGAUUAGCUAGUUGGUGGGGUAAAGGCCUACCAAGGCGACGAUCCGUAACUGGUCUGAGAGGAUGAUCAGUCACACUGGAACUGAGACACGGUCCAGACUCCUACGGGAGGCAGCAGUGGGGAAGAUUGGACAAUGGGCGAAAGCCUGAUCCAGCCAUGCCGCGUGUGUGAAGAAGGUCUUCGGAUUGUAAAGCACUUUAAGUUGGGAGGAAGGGCAGUAAGUUAAUACCUUGCUGUUUUGACGUUACCAACAGAAUAAGCACCGGCUAACUUCGUG